rnacentral:sRNA from 1 species
UCCACACGUGUAACGAUUGUGCCUACAGUUCUAUCACUAUUCAUUUCAGUUAAAAUGCGAUUGAUUUCAGUUUCCAACCAAUAGCCUAUCAUACCCUGUGACAUUGCACCACAAGUAUCCAAUGGCAUUGCCGGCGUUGUGUCACUGUUCGAUUUAGCUUGUUGGAUUAAUAAACUUCCAAUUUGUG